rnacentral:rRNA from 1 species
UACGUAGGGGGCAAGCGUUGUCCGGAAUCAUUGGGCGUAAAGAGCGUGUAGGCGGCCAGAUAAGUCCGCUGUGAAAUCUCGAGGCUCAACUUCGAGCUGUCGGUGGAAACUGUCUGGCUAGAGUCCGGAAGAGGAGAAUGGAAUUCCCGGUGUAGCGGUGAAAUGCGCAGAUAUCAGGAGGAACACCGGUGGCGAAGGCGGGUCUCUGGGCCGAUACUGACGCUGAGGAGCGAAAGCGUGGGGAGCGAACAGG